GUCCACGCUGUAAACGUUGGGCGCUAGGUGUGGGGACCUCUCCAGGUCUCCGUGCCGCAGCUAACGCAUUAAGCGCCCCGCCUGGGGAGUACGGCCGCAAGGCUAAAACUCAAAGGAAUUGACGGGGGCCCCGCACAAGCGGCGGAGCAUGCGGAUUAAUUCGAUGCAACGCGAAGAACCUUACCUGGGUUUGACAUGCACUCAAAAGCCGCAGAGAUGUGGUGUACUUCGGUGGGGUGCACAGGUGGUGCAUGGCUGUCGU
rnacentral:rRNA from 1 species